rnacentral:rRNA from 1 species
GACGAACGCUGGCGGCGUGCUUAACACAUGCAAGUCGAACGGUGAAGCUCCAGCUUGCUGGAGUGGAUCAGUGGCGAACGGGUGAGUAACACGUGAGCAACCUGCCCCUGACUCUGGAAUAAGCGCUGGAAACGGCGUCUAAUACUGGAUACGAGAAGGGUCCGCAUGGGCACUUUCUGGAAAGUUUUUCGGUUGGGGAUGGCUCGCGGCCUAUCAGCUUGUUGGUGAGGUAAUGGCUCACCAAGGCGACGACGGGUAGCCGGCCUGAGAGGGCGACCGGCCACACUGGGACUGAGACACGGCCCAGACUCCUACGGGAGGCAGCAGUGGGGAAUAUUGCACAAUGGGCGAAAGCCUGAUGCAGCGACGCCGCGUGAGGGAUGACGGCCUUCGGGUUGUAAACCUCUUUCAGCAGGGAAGAAGCGAAAGUGACGGUACCUGCAGAAGAAGCACCGGCUAACUACGUG